UACGUAGGGGGCAAGCGUUGUCCGGAAUUAUUGGGCGUAAAGGGUGCGUAGGCGGCCGAUCAAGUCAGGUGUGAAAGACCCGUGCUUAACAUGGGGGUUGCACUUGAAACUGGUUGGCUUGAGUAUGGGAGAGGCAAGCGGAAUUCCCGGUGUAGCGGUGAAAUGCUUAGAUAUCACGAAGAACUCCGAUUGCGAAGGCAGCACACUAAGCCGUAACUGACGUUCAUGCUCGAAAGUGUGGGUAUCAAACAGG
rnacentral:rRNA from 1 species